rnacentral:rRNA from 1 species
UACGUAGGGGGCUAGCGUUGUCCGGAUUUAUUGGGCGUAAAGAGCGUGUAGGCGGCCAGGUAGGUCUGCUGUGAAAACUCGAGGCUCAACCUCGAGACGUCGGCGGAAACCAUCUGGCUAGAGUCCGGAAGAGGAGAGUGGAAUUCCUGGUGUAGCGGUGAAAUGCGCAGAUAUCAGGAAGAACACCCGUGGCGAAGGCGGUUCUCUAGUACGGUACUGACGCUGAGACGCGAAAGCGUGGGGAGCGAACAGG